GGUAAAUUACCCUAUUUUUUGAGUAAAAACCUGCUUGAUUAUUGAAAUAUCAAUUGCAUGUUAUGCAAAGACAGAAUAUAAGAAUUUUUCUCUUUUCACAGGUUGGAGAAAAAUGGCCGGUUCACAAGCUGUGUGGUUCGGAGUCUGCUGGUCUGUGAUGAGGUUAUGCAGCCUCAUUGCUUGGUAACGACCCUUGAGAAGAGAAAGCUAAGGAGAAAUCUUACGGCUGUAACUGCCUAACGGGCAGGUACAGAGAAGACGGAGCCAGGCUCUUGUCAGAGGUGCCCCGUGAUAUGGCAGGAGGCAACGGGCAGGAGAUGGAGCACAGGAGAUUCCCAAGGGAUAUGAGCGUUUUUUGCAGAGAGCCCUACUUCUAUUGAAGACCACGGUUACCGAAUCUGGAAGGCUUUCGGGCGCCUGCUAACUCCCUCCUGCCCUCAACAGCCUUGGAGGUGUGAGGAACUGCCUACGACAGGCUCGGGUAGACGAUGGCCAGGCUCCUUUCUUGGGGGAAAAGUCGUCGCUGGUUGCUGCUUUUUGUCACAAGUGGAAAUAUCAACUAGCAAGGAUUUUUUAACCUGGGAGGCUGCAAGAGCCAAGGUCUGUCCCCCGCUAAGGGAACAUGUAGCAUCGGCUGUUGGUGGAUUUUCUGCAGCAGCGGCAGGUUCCUGCGGGGAAGUUCGCCCCUCGCUUCUGCGAGAUCAAGACCUAGGGCCUCCAGGCAGACGUGGCGAGAGGUGAUGGAUGUCCCGGCCUGCGAAGCAGUCCUCGGAGCGGCAGUCAGGAGAGCUGCAGUCGUAACCGUACCUGCGACAGUUCCCAGUCCUCUGAAGUCAAGAUUUAAAUACAUCUGCUUGUGGGAACAUACUGGCCCACUAAUUUCCUUGUUUAAAAUAUUCGGUCAUUAGAUGCUACUUAAUAACUAAUGCCUGGAAGGGUGUUUUUUAUUUUCUGUAUGUUAAAGUUAAUGUUAGAGUGCAUAUUAAUAUGCUAUGUUUGCUUUCUGACAUCAUUCAGGAUACUGCUAGGAAGGACUGUACUGUAAAAUACUGGGAAAUUAUUUCAGUGUUAGGAAGAAAUUGUAUCCAUUUAUACGAAGCUAUACACAAAGCUGCCAGUUCUGGAUGCUGGUAGGAAGAAAUGUCCUCUUGUGUGAAAAAGAGACAUAGGGAGAGGUAAGUAAAGUAUUGUGCUUUUAAAUUGCUUUUUCAAACUAGGACCUUAAUUUCUCUAAGUCACCAAAAAAUAUAAUAACUCUCUGAACUGGUAA